GGGCGAUUAGCUCAGCGGUAGAGCACUGCCUUCACACGGCAGGGGUCAGUGGUUCGAACCCACUAUCGCCCACCA
rnacentral:tRNA from 1 species